CGGAGCCCCACCUACUUUGAGCAUGAACGGAUUCGGCAUCCUCGCAGUCAAAGGAACCGCAGACUCCUCAAGGAACAAGAUUCUACCUUCCCAGUAUUCACAGCAGAGUUCUCACAGCCAGCAUUACAAAUGGAAACAACAGCUUUGGGCCCCUGCGCCGUACGUCAGAAGUCACCCUAACCGACGUGCCCUGGCACUUACUUCCCAAGGCUGGCUACGGCACGCUACGUUACCUCUCGUGCUUCUGCCUAUACGACCUGGUAAACCAGAGCAACUGCUCUUCCUUGAGCACAUGCGUCCGUGCAUGGCGAGCCGCGCAACGGAUUGUGGUAUAGCAGGCGCAAGCGAGCGGUGUCAUCCUUUGGUGGAUUAGGUGACCAACAUCAAAAGAAGAGCACGCUCUACUUCGGCGGAAACCGUGGCCACCGACUCAAGAGAACACUGGUCCGCACCACUU